CUUCUAAGAAGGCUGAUUUCUGGCAGAGGCGGGGGCGCCGCUUCGGGAGAGCGGGCAGUUCUAGGAGGCCGACCUGGAGAGCCUCCCGGUUCCCCUUCCCCUUUUCCCGGACCCCGCGGGGACACCCCCUCGCCGCCACCCGGGCCUCCCCGAGGGCCCAACUGCGGGUCAGGCGGCCCGGGCCAGCCGAAAGGGAAGUGGGGCUACCCCACAGCCAGGCAGCGGGGCUGGGGUCAGACCCGGGAGCCGGAGGUUGGAGACGUGCGACAGUCACCUGCGGGCAGAUUCCAGAGGGGAGACCCAGGGCUGCAGGGGACGCCCCUUCGUGGCAGCUACCCAGCCUCGGCCCACUGCCAGUGUUACGUGGCUGCAUGACCAUACACUUCUGGGUAGAGCCCAGUGGAAGACAAAGAAGACUCAAGGAAUAGCCCUUGAGGGCUCAGGAGCUAUACAGAUGGGAUAGAGGGUGUGAGUGCUGGGAAGCCCCAUCCAUGGCUCGCUGGAGAUUAGAGGCCUGUUAAUCUGAAGACAAAGGAAUGAAGACGAAAACGUUUCUGAAAAUGUGGGUGGAGACACCUGGGCCUUUACAGGGUACGCUCCAGAGCUGCUUCCAGGCAGGGACCCCGGCUGAGAGAAGCCAGAGCCAGAGAGUCGCAGGCUUGCUUGCUCUUAUCUUCCCUCUGCUGGGGGGGUCGAGGGGAGAUCUGGCCCCUCUGCUCUGCCCUCCUGAUUUCCCGUCUAAGGGAUUUAGGAGACUUUUGCCUUUUCCUAAUCUCUCCCUUUGCAGAAUUUCUGCGAAGUCACAAUCCCAUUUCCAGGCAAAGGUGCUUGGUCAUAAAGAUAAUAAAGAUAUUCAUUCAUGAUGGAGGGGAAG
rnacentral:lncRNA from 10 species